GACAGGGGUCUCGAGCGUUAAUCGGAAUCACUGGGCUUAAAGGGUGCGUAGGCGGGCCUGUAAGUGUCCUGUGAAAUCCCCCGGCUCAACCGGGGGAACUGCGGGGCAUACUGCGGGUCUGAGGAAGGUAGGCGCCGAGGGAACAGUAGGUGGAGCGGUGAAAUGCGUAGAUAUCUAACUGGAACGCCGAUGGUGAAGACGCUCGGCUGGGCCUUUCCUGACGCUGAGGCACGAAAGCGUGGGGAGCAAACAGGG
rnacentral:rRNA from 1 species